AACGAACGCUGGCGGCAUGCCUAACACAUGCAAGUCGAACGAGAACUUCGGGUCUAGUGGCGCACGGGUGCGUAACGCGUGGGAACCUGCCCGUAGGUUCGGAAUAACUCCCCGAAAGGGGUGCUAAUACCGGAUAAUGUCUUCGGACCAAAGAUUUAUCGCCUUUGGAUGGGCCCGCGUUGGAUUAGCUAGUUGGUAGGGUAAAAGCCUACCAAGGCGACGAUCCAUAGCUGGUCUGAGAGGAUGAUCAGCCACACUGGGACUGAGACACGGCCCAGACGCCUACGGGAGGCAGCAGUGGGGAAUAAUGGACAAUGGGCGAAAGCCUGAUCCAGCAAGGCCGCGUGAGUGAUGAAGGCCUUAGAGUUGUAAAGCUCUUUUACCCGGGAUGAUAAUGACAGUACCGGGAGAAUAAGCUCCGGCUAACUCCAU
rnacentral:rRNA from 1 species